rnacentral:lncRNA from 1 species
GCCCGCAGGUUCCAGCCCCGACCCGGGCGCGCGGGGCCGACUAGGGUCGGGUCCAGUGUGCGGUGGUCGCUCCGCUCCGGGCCGCUCCGCUCUGGGCGUCAGGGCGCGGGGAGCUGCCCCGGGGUUCUGUCCACCGGGGAGGAAAGCCACGAGCACUGAGCGCCUCCUGAGAGCCAGCCCUGACGUGAACUCAUUUUAUCUGCCACGACCCAGAAGGAGUCUACUGCUAAGAUUUCAGCAUGUCCUGUGGCUGAGUUAAUCAGAGUUAUGACAGGAAGGUACCGGGCACACCAUCGCAAUGCUCCAUCAAUGCUAGUAUGUUGUGUUCUUUCCUUCAUAUCAAGUCAACUCAAGCUUGCUCUACUUACCUGGUGUACACAGUCUAAGAACUGUAAGAAGACUGGAGCAAAACCACUCCCCUGACAGUUGAGGGUCAAGCUGCUCCUCUGACUGAAUUUGUGACCAAAAGAGAGCCACUCUUUUUCAACCAACAUCUGGAAGCCUUCAAGUGUCCUAUAAAAGGGAUCACUGAGUAACUGAACCAGGGAUGUCACCUAGGGCAUAAGCAGGAUGGAUUGUCAUUAAUUUUAGUUCUGAAAAAGGCCUAUUACUAAGAUAAAAGCACUUCCUUCUGAUGAUAGCUAAUUCACAAAUUUACCUGGACAGCAAAUUUGUUCACUAACCAUUCCAGGAUGGCCAAUAAAAUUAAUUUUGUAAACUUGCCAGUAAAAACUAAAGCUCAAAUUCAUUUUGGCUACAAGUUUACUUUCAGGGAAUUGAGACUUUAAUCCUUAACUGGCCAGUUUGCUGACAGCAACCUUUUCCUAAGUUAAUCAGAGGCCAGAGGAUCAGUUAAAAUCAAUUCUACUUUUUGGCAGAUGCAGAUUAAUGUCUUAAUGUAGUCUGAACUCACACUUUUCACUCUGGAGUGAGUUAAGGCGGGGCUUAUAGAGAGCCAGGGGAUGGACUGACAAAACCCAGGAAGGAUGGUCCACGCCUCACACUGCUGGUCAAGGGCUCCAUCCGCAAGCCUGCAUGGUACAUCUGUGGAUGGGAGAGCUUGAUGCCCGGAGCCAGAGCUCCAGGCUGCGUAGGGGCUAAGAGCUCAUGGUACGGAGUUUUCUGAUGGAUACCAGGUGCUGUUUAACACAGGACUUUCUCUGUCCAUAAACACAUUAGUCAUUAUACAAAAGAGUCAUCUGAAGAAUUUAAAAAUGACCAAAUGGAAAUAUAAAUAUAAAAUAUCAAAAAAUAUGUCUAAUAGUUUACUUGUGCAGUGAUGUCCCAGCCUUCCUCCAAACAGACCAAAACUGAGGAACCAUUCUCAAGUACUUCUGAUACAACCACAGCCAGCUGCAUUAUCCUGUGAAGCUAAGAGACAGGAAGGAGAACACAAUUAGACCAAGCGCUUUCUGAGUGCAGAAGUCAGAGAGAGUUGCUUUCAACCCUGGAUAAUCAAACGACUUAGGGAUAAAGCGCUUGCACAAAAGAACCACAUAAUGUUUUAAAUACCUAAAGUUCUUUCAAAUCAAGAUUAAACAAUGACACUUUUGACUGGAUGCAAUGACUCAUGCCCAUAAUCCCAGCACUUUGGGAGGCCGAGCCGGGCAGGUCAUUUGAGGUUCGGAGUUCGAGACCAGCCUGGGCAACAUAGUAAGACCCCAUCUCAAUGAAAACAACAACAAAAUGACACUUCAAAAAAGUAGACACAUUUUAAAACAAUACAUUCUAGUAAUACAUAAUGAAAUAAAAUUACCUUACAUGAUUCCCCCAAAAGUAGGUGAGCUAUAAUUCCAUAGAGUACAAAAAACAGAGAUUCUAUGUGGACUUCCCAACAAAAGACGGAAAUUCAGAUGAAUUUUAUUGGAUUUAAAAUUUGUUUUUCCAUGAUGUAGUAAGUUUUGUUUCAGACAUUUUUUUUUUUUUUUUUUGAGACAAAGUCUCGCUCUGUCACCCAGGCUGGAGUGCAGUGAUGCAAUCCUGGCUAACCACAACCUCUGCCCCCCGGGUUCAAGCGAUUCUCCUGCCUCAGCCUCCCGAGUAGCUUGGAUUACAGGUGCAUACCAGUGCACCCGGCUAAUUUUUUGUAUUUUUAGUAGAGACGAGGUUUCACCAUGUUGGCCAGGCUAGUCUUGAACUCCUGACCUCAGGUAAUCCACCUGCCUCAGCCUCCCAAAGUGCUAGCAUUACAGGCGUGAACCACCACGCCUGGCCUAUUUCAGGUAUUCUUAAUUUUUUGGGAAUUAGAUAGUGGUGAUAGUUACACAAUGUUGUGGACAUACCAAAAAGCGUUGAGUUGUGCACCUUUAUCAUAAGGAUAAAUUUUAUGGUAAGUGAAUUAUAUGUUAAAAAAGAAACUCCUGGCUGGGUGUGGUGGCUCAACGCCUGUAAUCCCAGCACUUUGGGAGGUUGAAGCAGGAGUAGUGCUUGAGCUCAGGAGUUUGAGACCACCUGGGCAACAUGGCAAAACCCCAUCUCUACAAAACAUACAAAAACCAGCCAGGCGUGGUGGCAUCUGCCUGUAAUCCCAGCUACUCAGGAGGCUGAGGUAGGAGGAUCGCUUGAACCUGGGAGAUCGAGGCUGCAGUGAGCUGUGAUUGUGCCACUGCACUCUAGCCUGGGUGACAGAGCAAGACCCUGUCUCGAAAAAUAAAAAUAAAAAAGAUACUCCUAUUUGUCUAUACUGUGUACUAAAUGAGAAAAAAACUUUCAAUAUAUUUGUGCUAAGUUUUUAAAGCCACAUCAAUUGGCUCAAAGUCCUUAAUAAACAAUUAAGGUAUGAGAAUAGUAUAUAGAUUUUAAAACCAGAUGUAUAACAUUGUAAUUUUAAAAAAUAUUUUAAUGAUCAUCAGACAUAAUUUGCAAUUUGAAUCCAACUCUGAACAAGAACAAAAAUGAAAAAACCCAUCUCUUAAACAGAGCUAGGCUACUUUAAACACAGGAAUAAGGCAAAUGCCCUACUCAGUAAUGAGAAGCUCCUCAUGUAACUGUUUCUACAACAUAGCUAUCACCAGGCCUGAAUUCUUUUGGGCUCAGAAUUUGUUCUAAGAAAUGGCUAUUAUUAAAAAGUCAAAAAAUAACAGAUGCUGGCGAGCCUGUGGAGAAAAGGGAAUGUAUAUACAUUUCUGGUGGGAAUGUAAAUUAGUUCAGCCAUUGUAGAAAGUAGUUUGGUGAUUUCUCAAAUAACUUAAAACAGAAUUACCAUUUGACCUAGCAAUCCCAUUACUGAGUAUAUACCCAAAGGAAUAUAAAUUGUUCUACCAUAAAGUCACAUGCACACACAUGUUCAGUGCUGUACUAUUCACAAUAGCAAAGACAUGGAGUCAACCUAUAUGCCCAUCAACGGUAGACUGGAUAAAGAAAAUAUGGUACAUAUACACCAUGGAAUACUACACAGCCAUAAAAAGAAUGAGCUUAUGUCCUUUGCAGUAACACAGCUGAAGCAAACUAACACAGGAAUGGAAAACCAAAUACUGCAUAUUCUCACUUAUAAGUGGGAGCUAAACAUUGAGUACACAUGGACACAAAGAAAGGAAUAGACGCCUGGGGCGUAUUUGAGGUUGGAGGUGAGAGGAGGGUGAGGAUAGAAAAACUACCUAUCAGGUACUAUGCUUAUUACCUGGGUGAUGAAAUAAUCUGUACACCAAACUCCCAAGAUAUGCAAUGUACCUAUACAACAAACCUACAUAUGUACCCCUGAACACAAAAUAAAAGUUAAAAAAAGAAUUUGCUUUAAGAGUUAACUUUUAAGAUGUCAAUAUCCCAAGUGGGCAAUUAUUUUCCACUGUCUUUAGUCCCUAUCUUUUGGUACAGGUCCACUUUCUAGCAAAGAGUAGAGCACAGAAUGUAUCAGAAACAUGGAUAGAUAAGUUGGGUGGAGGGGUCCGUUUGGAGCUGGGGCUCAUAGCCUGGGGACAGAAGGGAGUAUCGACCAGUUCCUUCCACGGGUAUGCAAAGCACCCUAAAUUGCCUUAAUAAUAAUGAACACAGCAUGAUACAUUUAUAGCCAAAUAUUUAUGUGGCGGCAUUUCUCUUUGGUUUAAGUAUCUUGAGAACAGUCACAGCCCUGAGUACUGACAUCAUUUCCUUUUUUUUUUUUUGCCUUUUAGUCCAAUGUGCUGUGGGAAACAAGAGGCAGGAUGCUUGGAGGUAGAUGGAGGCAGGGGACUGGGAAUUUCUGCAAGGUGAUAACAAAUAAUGGGGGCCAGGCGUGGCAGCUCAUGCCUGUAAUCACAGCUCUUUGGGAGGUCAAGGUGGGAGGAUUACUUGAGGCCAGGAGUUCAAGACCAGCCUGGGCAAUAUAAGAAAUAAAGGGGCUUAAAGACAAGGCCCUUUAAUUUCUCAAUAAAAGUUCAAUUAAGAAUAUCCCAAAGUUGACUGAACUGAAAGAUGAUAGACACUGUGUUUUUUUUUCAAGCCUUAGGUAGGCUUGGGGGCAUCCAGUGUGCCUUUGGUGGGUAGUGUGGGGUGGAUCUAAAAUCUAGAGACCUGGGAUAGGCAGACAAAUGAAAGGUGAGAGCUCUUGGGAGUCAUGCAGAAGUUGCCCUCUGCCCUGGAUCCUUACUGUAUUGACAACAGAGCAGGAGCCCUGUAAAUACAUGCUGAUUAAAUUUACAUCAAAGAUUUCCAUCUAAAAAUAAUUUUCUCCUUAGUGUCCUAUAGAUACCAAACUUUUAAAUACACAGAGAUAAAAACCCAGCGAUCAAGACUUCUACUCCCUCACCUCCUAUACCAGAUGAUUUCCUUAGUCUGAAAGGCCUUUACUGAUGGCACACAAUGAAGGAGGAGAAUGUUGGGGAGUAGGGGAACAAAGUAUUUUUUUUCUCAAAUACAGUUCUGUAUAUCUACUUGGGCCUCUGUUUCUUUGAGUUAUAAAGAAAGAAGCUGCUUCAGACAUUACCUGUGGGAACCACUCAGAAUCUCCCAGCGCUUUCAGGAAGGUCACUUCUGAGUCAGUAGGGAUGGUGCUUGGGAUACAAGCCCUCAUCAGCUUCUUAAAACUGGCUUUCACUUGCCGGAUUUCAUGAAAUUCAACAGGAACAAACUCACAAUUUAAAGCAAAUUCUACCUUGAAGUUCUGCGGAUGAAGAUUCAGAGAAUUAGGCAGAUGAAGUGCUAUAGGUAAAAGAGUGAUGUUUCCAAUGGGGCAGUGCAUAAUGACAAAGUUAUUUGGGGCCAAAUAGCUGCAGAGGCUGCCAAUGGGUCAAGAAAGUCAAUCUUGUACAGCAAUGUGUCAGUGUUGGUGGGAACAGCCAUUCAGUACAAGCUAGUGGUUUGCCCAGAAUGGCAAAUCUAGUCCUUACUAGAGGUAGAUUACUUAGCCUAAGAAUGCGUUCAUUCUGAGAACUGGAAGAGCCUACUGGUAGACUGGAACUUGAUGGAGCUCAUAAUACCAAAUAUAAGUCAAUUAUAAGGCCAUGAACCUGGAAGUUUAAAGAGAAACUAAUGAUACAUGGACAGUAUGAUUACUCCAACAGUGUAAACUAAGUCUUCCCAAGAUGUAUAUGGUAAGGGAUAGGUAACACACUGUUGGAGUUCCAGACUGUACGUGUAUUAAAGUUUGUAGAUAUGCACAUAUUUGUUUCUUAUUAUGCAAGUAAAACAUAUUCAUAAUAAAAAUGAAAAAAGGUAGAGAUAAAUAUUGAGAAAGAAAUAGAAAUCACUUUCUUACUGCCCCAAGACUACCAACAUUGUGGUUAUUUUUUUGUUUUUUUGGGAUGGAGUCUUGCUCUGUCACCCAGGCUGGAGCGCAAUGGUGCGAUCUUGACUGACUGCAACCUCCGCUUCCCAGGUUCAAGCGAUUCUCCUGCCUCAGCCUCCCGAGUAGCUGGGACUACAGUCGUGCGCCACCAUACCCAGUUAAUUUUUGCAUUUUUAGUAGAGAUGGGCUUUCACCAUGUUGCCCAGGAUGGUCUCAAUCUUUUGACCUUGUGAUCCGCCCACCUCGGCCUCCCAAAGUGCUGAGAUUACAGGCGUGAGCCACCACGCCCAGUCCUACUUCUUAAAAGUCAAUAAUAAAAAAUUACAUGGUCGGGCACGGUGGCUCAUGACUGUAAUCUCAGCAGUCUGGAAGGCUGAGGCAGACAGAUUACCUGAGGUCAGGAGUUCAAGACCAGCCUGGCCAACACGGUGAAAUCCCAUCUCUACUAAAAAUACAAAAAGUAGCCAGGCGUGGUGACAGGCACCUGUAAUCGCAGCUACUCGGGAGGCUGAGGCAGGAGAAUCACUUGAACCCCGGAGAUGGAGGUUGCAGUGAGCUGAGAUGACACCACUGCACUCCAGCGUGGGCAGCAGAGUGAGACUCCACCUUAAAAAAAAAAAUUACAUAAAAAAACCACGAAAGGCUUUGUUCAUUUCUAUCUUUGGGAUAAUAUUUUUUCACUUAAUAUAUGUAUCAACCUAUAUUUAUUUGAGUACUUUCUCAUUUACAUCUUUAAUCCUUAUGGAAUUUAUUUUGUGUGUGGUAUGAGUGUUGCAUUUGCAAUUAAAGAAUGCUAUACUGAUGGCCUACUGGUAUAUUUCAUUUUAAUAACCUGGUUGCCUAGCUCUGAAGAAGAUUUAAAAGUCCUCUAACUUUUCAUGCCAAAGAAUGAAUUAAUUUUCUCAAAAUGUUUCCACUUUCUUUUCAUUGUGCCCAAAUUACUCUAUUGGACCAUCUGCUUUUCUAAGAUUAAAACUGCUUUCUGGAGAUUGGUUGCACAGCAACAUAAAUGUACUUAAUAAUACUGAGUCAUACACUUAGAAAUGGUUAAGAUGGUAAAUCUUGUUAUGUGUAUUUUAUAAUUUUUCCUUUGUCUUAAUAAUUCUAUUUUUAAGGAAGCUAUUCUAAGGAAAUAAUCUAAUAGGAAAAAACCCCCAGGGAAUGGUAUCUCAAUUAAAAAAAAUAACAAAAUAACUUAUUUGCUUGGAAUUGUGACUGUAAUUUUAUAUACAGAAGAUAAAGAAACCUAAACAUCCAACAACAUGGGAUGAAUAGUGACUAAAAUAGUUAUGAAGACUAUAUGACAUGGAAACAUAAUGUUAAGGCUUCAGAUAAAUAACCUAGCGAUAUACAUGAGUUCCUUUCUAUUAUUUUUAAAAACUUAUAAUAGACAAAACAUAGUUUACUUUUCAGGAAAGGUAGAUUCCUAUUUCCCAACUAUACAUGAGCUAGGUAUGCUUAUCUUAUAAACCAGGAGUUACUAACCAAAGUAUUGAGACACUCCAUUAGGUUGUAAGGAAUUUGUUCCUAAUAAUAAAGUAUUAAAGUAUGUGAAUUUACCUAGGUAAAGGCCAAAUUCAAGAUUAUUUUCAGAAUAAGUCACUGUAAUUUAUUGGCUUUCAUGUUUCUUUGUUGGGAGAAAAAGGUAUGGAAUUGUAACUGGAUGGCAUUGUGCAAGCUAGAAUGUGGCACAUAUCAGACAGAUACAGAGCCAUAUUCUACAUACAAAAUUGAAUAAAAGAUAAAACCUGAAUGGAAUAUAUAGAAUAGCUGACAACUAUUGUGCCAGAAUGGUGGGAUUACAUUUUUAAAAAUAAUAAUACUUGUCCGGGUGUAGUGGCUCACGCCUGUAAUCCCAGCACUUUGGGAGGCCAGGGCGGGUGGAUCACAAGGUCAAGAGAUGGAGACCAUCAUGGCCAACGUGGUGAAACCCCAUCUCUACUAAAACUAAAAAAAAAAAAAAAAAAAAAAAAAAAAGCUGGGCGUGGUGACGCGUGCCUGUAAUCUCAGCUACUCAGGAGACUGGGGCAGAAUUGCUUGAACCUGGGAGGUGGAGGUUGCAGUGAGCCGAGAUCAUGCUACUGCAUUCCAGCCUAGCGACAGAGUGAGACUCCAUCUCAAAAACUUAAAAAAAAUAUAAUAAUAAUAUUUUAUUGAGGAAGGGCAGACAGAAAGAAAAAGAGGGCAGGAGGAAGAGAGGGAAGGAAAAAGGCAGCAUCCCAACUCUUUCUUACUCAAAUACGUAUGAUCACAUAGCUAAUCUGAGAAAUUAUGUGCAAAGAGAAUGGCAGAGGGGAGUAUUAAGGAGCUAAACCUCGGAGAGUGAUUCGGAUCACGAGUAAGUGUUGUGCUGAAGCAUGGAAAGUCUGUGCUCUGGAAAAGACACUGGCACCAGCAACCCUGGAUUGCUGUAGAAAAGGGUUCUAUUUUUUGGAUAUAAAAUUAUCUACUGUAUCAGAAGACACAUAUGCAGAUUUAAAACUUGAGCAUUACCCAGCAGUUUUAUGCCCUCUACCCUAAAGGUUAGUGACUAAGUGGUUGCAGCAGUCCAGGCAGUGGGAGAAGAGCUAGCAAAGCCACUAGCCUGCUCCAGAAGAGAUGACUCAGUUACUGGCAUCUUAAGGGCCAAGCAUGUGGGAUCUUGCUAAUGGCACCCUGCUCACAGUUUCUGCUCCACGGUUCAGCCAGAGGUCUGUCUAGGUUGUCCAGUGCCAACUGGAGCACUGGAUUAAACGUUGAGAUUUCUGAGUUAACAGAUAACUUUCAUGUCCUAUAUACCUACUGGUAGUAAUGAAAUUUAUUUUGUAAUGUGUGACUUGCAAAACAUUAAAUUCAAGGAAUUGUUGUUGCUUUUGGAGGAAAAGACCAUCUUUACAAUUUAUGGGCCCUCAGCAUGGUGAAGCUCUUUAGCGCAACAAUUUAACAGUAAGAAUAAAGUUGAUUAGCAUCUAGUAUUUUGAAUUUUCUGACACAUCUUAGGACAUGUGUCUCUUUCUAUAUAGCUUUGCGAAGUUUUAACAAGUGUUACUCAGAAAACCUAGACUUGGCCUUGCCUUGCCUCCAUACAUGGUACCACAGUCUUCCUCUCUCCAUUCUUCUAUGUUUCUGUAGCCUGCUUUAGGUUUACCAUAACAAAACUAUCUGUUUUGCCAUGGGCAGAUUCCUGUGGAAACUGAAUCAAGGCUGUUGAAAACACAGCCUGAUGAAGCCUUAUUCCUUUUUUUUGUAUGUAUGUACGCUUCCUGAUGUUUAUGUUGAUUUUUUACUAUUAUGAAUAAAUAUUUAUUUUCAUGGCUAAUAAAUAUGCAUAUGUAUAUACAUGUAUUGAUAUAAAAAUUAAUAUAUAUAAAUAAAUACAAAAGGAGAGCUAAAUUUUUUGAGAUUAUUAACUCCAGGUUAAGAAUCAUGCUGUAAAAAAAAUUCUAGCAAAGCUGGUUUGUGAUACAGGUUUUAUCAACAGCCCUAGCGUAUCCAUAAAGUUUCUAAGUGAGAAAAAAGAAAUCUUACCCUUAGUUGCGACUUUUCACCAAAUAUGUAAAGGGCUGCUUGCCGUUUCAAGAGCUGGUUUUGUAGGUAGCUGCUGUUACUGAAGGAGGCCGAGUGAUCCUUGCCUGCCAGCCGGGCGCCAACAUCAAUGAAGGAUGUUGGAGAGCUGAUCAAGCGAGUGCUAGAGCGAAGACUUGCCCACACACCUUCACAAAAGCCAAAGUCGUGGAGUGAGAUAAUCUAAUGUGGGAAUGCCACUAACUAAGGAAAAAGGUGCAUGCUCUGGAGCUACAGUUUUAGAGGUCAUAGCAAGCUGAUUAAUCUAAAAACCGUAAGUCAUAUGGUCAUUUGCUACUUCUGUAACAUAAACAUUAUCCAAUAUAGCAUUUCAAAAUCACACAAUCUUAGCCUCAGAAUGACCUAGCAAAUCCCCCAAAUCAAUCCUAUUUUAUAUUUUGAUGUAAAUUCAGGAUUUAAAAGUAAAUACUAAGAUCUUAAGCAGAAACAGUACAUUGAUACUGAAAACAAAACAUGCUGGCAGGAGGUACUAAUAAAGUCUAGGAAGGCAAAUGCUGAGUUAUGCAAUUUCUCAGGGCUUCAUGAAAAAAGUAAGGAACAUUCUUCUGCUUAUUUGGUCAAUUUAACAUGACAUUUAAAGAUAUGAAAUAGAAACUUCAUAAGUCUACUAAAAUCUGAAGCUGGAUUUGGAAUUAAUAUUUGUAUAUCAUGCCAAAACGAUGUAAUUCUAAACAAGAUUAUAUUAUAUUUUUCAGUAUCCAUGAAGAAUGAGAAUUAUAAGUUUAGUAAUGGGCACAGUGCCUCAUGCCUGUAAUACUAGCACUUUGGGAGGCCAAGGUGGGCAGAUCGCUUGAGCCCAGGAGUUUGAAACCAGCCUGGGCAACAUGGUGAAACCCCGUCUCUACCAAAAAAAAAAAAAAAAAAAAAAAAACUACAAAAAGACACCUGUAUUGGGAGGCUGAAAUGGGAGGAUCACUUGACCGCUGGAGGUGGAGGUUGCAGUGAGCCAAGAUAGCGCCACUGCGCUACAUACUGGGCAACAGAGUAAGACACUGUCUCUAAAAUAAAAUAAAAUAAAUGA